rnacentral:rRNA from 1 species
GAUGAACGCUGGCGGCGUGCCUAAUACAUGCAAGUCGAGCGAACAGACGAGGAGCUUGCUCCUCUGACGUUAGCGGCGGAAGGGUGAGUAACACGUGGAUAACCUACCUAUAAGACUGGGAUAACUUCGGGAAACCGGAGCUAAUACCGGAUAAUAUAUUGAACCGCAUGGUUCAAUAGUGAAAGACGGUUUUGCUGUCACUUAUAGAUGGAUCCGCGCCGCAUUAGCUAGUUGGUAAGGUAACGGCUUACCAAGGCAACGAUGCGUAGCCGACCUGAGAGGGUGUACGGCCACACUGGAGCUGAGACACGGUCCAGACUCCUACGGGAGGCAGCAGUAGGGAAUCUUCGGAAAUGGGCGAAAGCCUGACGGAGCAACGCCGCGUGGGUGCUGAAGGUCUUCGGAUCGUAAAACUCUGUUAUUAGUGAAGAACAAAUGUGUAAGUAACUAUGCACGUCUUGACGGUACCUAAUCAGAAAGCCACGGCUAACUACGUG